AAGACUAUACUUUCAGGGUUCAUUUCUAUAGUUCAUUAAUAUAAAUACUUAAAAAAAAAAAAAAGGAAGCAGUAUCUACUGGAAAAGAGCUCCCAGCCUAAGAUCGGCCAGCUCAGUAUAGGCCCCACAGGACUCAUUCCCUGCCUGUGCAUGCUGUCCUGGCCCAACCCUGGGCAGUGGCAGGGGCUGGGCAUUAUCGCUGAGCAGC